GCUGGAGGCAAGAGAGAUGGCGCUCGGGACGGAAGGGUUCCCUGCCCUGCCCCAGGAGCCUGCAUGGGAGAAGGCGUGAGGAGGUGAAGGAAGCUUAUGGUACCUGCACACCGACAGGCUGGAGCGCGAGAGCAACCCUGUGGCCUGUCCUGGUCUCUGACUCACCCUGAAGAAUGAGAAACCUGUUUAAAGUGAAGUGUGAUGGAAUCAAGUCAGACGUGAGGAAGGACCUACCUCCUUGGUCAAAGCUGGGAUGGGGAUCUUGCUCUGUUGCCCAGGCUGGAGGGCAGUGGUGGAGUCAUAGCUCAUCAAAAGCUCAACCUUCCAGGCUCAAGUGAUGCUUCCGUCUCAGCCUUCUGAGUAGCUGGGACAACAGGCUGGAGUGCAAUGGCGCGGUCUCGGCUCACUGCAACCUCCGCCUCCCAGGUUCAAGUGAUUCUCCUGCCUCAGCCUCCCGAGUAGCUGGGAUUACAGGCACCCGCCACCAAGCCUGGCUAAUUUUCGUAUUUUUAGUAGAGAUGGGGUUUCACCAUGAUGGGGUUUCACCAGGAUGGUCUCGAUCUCCCGACCUGGUGAUCCGCCCGCCUCGGCCUCCCAAAGUGCUGGGAUUACAGACGUGAGCCACCGCGCCUGGCUAAUUUUUGUAUUUUUUGUAGAGACAGGGUUUUGCCAUGUUGCCCAGGCUGGUCUCCAACUCUUGACCUUAGGUGAUGCACCCCCCGCCUUGGCCUCCUGAAGUGCUGGGAUUACAGGCGUGAGCCACUGCGCCCGACCUGGUUCCUCAAUCUUUGUGGCAUUUGUCUACCUUGACAUUAUGUAUGUAGUAAGCGUUUUGGGGGAGUCCCAGCUCCGUCCACACUGACCACCCCCCACACCUGGCCUGGAGAGGGUGCUGGGCGUCUGCUGAGUGUCAGUGCACGUGGCCUGCAUCCUGCUCGCUCAUCCGCAGCUUCCCGGCCUCAGGCUAUGUCUCUGUACAGCGGAGCCUGCGCCACGGAGCAGGCCCGCCACCUGGGUCCGGGGUCUGGGGUCUGGAGUUUGCGCUUGGUCUUUGGGUUGGGGGUUCCGGGUCUGAGGUAUGGGAUCUGGAAUCCGGAGUCUGAAGUCUGGGGUUCAGAGUCUGGGA